AAAUCAUCAAGCAUAUGUUGAUGGGCCGUAUUUAUAAGUUCAUUUCUCACCAUGGAGAGAUGUGUUCUACUGAUUCUUAUAACAGUACCAGGUAUAUUUGCUGACAGCAUUGAACCAAAAGUCAAGGACGAUAUAAUCAGUGAAGAAGGAGAGUCUGUGAAACUGAGCUGCUCAUAUGAUACAAGCAGCAAUGAUGUUUAUCUCUACUGGUACAGACAGUUUCCAAACAAAGAACCCCAGUUUAUAUUGCGUAAAGGUGCUCGAUCAUGGAGCGAUGAGGAUAUACCAGAUCGUCGGUUUCAGACGACUACAGCCCGAACAUCCACUGAACUCACUAUUAACAGUGUAACUCUGUCAGAUUCAGCUCUCUAUUACUGUGCUCUAAGAGUUGGAGCCCAGUGAUACAAAAUGCCUGAGAGGCUUUACAUAAACUCACACACACAAUAAUUGCUUUGAACCGUAUUCGAUAAACUAAAAAUCAAACCGCAGCUGCACUUUAUGUCAGCCACAAAGUCUCUGUGAAUAACAGGAUAUGCAACACCUGCUAAAACGUA